UGGAGAGCCUGUCCUUCCAGUCAGCUGGUAGACCCUCAGAACCACCACCAUCUCUUCUGGCAGCUUUGCCACCACUGACCCUGAACACACCUCCACCAAAAUAGGUGUUUGUGUUUGACUUGUUUACUCUUUUCUGCUCUUGGCUGGGUUUGGAAGAGGGAAAAAAUCAUUGUUCAAUGGCUCCUCUUCGCGAAGACGCAGUUCCUGUAGGGACGUAUCUGGUCCUGGGUCUCCCAUCUCACACUCACUCCUACACAGCAGCAGUAUCCAGCGCAUCAUAGAGGUUGAGCUCCCUGGUAUAUUUGUCUCUCUCAGUUCUGCUGGGAACCAGAUGGUGAUAGAGGGGUCAGUGUUUGAGGAGCCCAGCUUCUCUGUGUCCCAGCAACAGCAGAAGCAGAAGCCCUGGUCAAAGCAACUGCAGGAGAAUGAGGGACCAGACAGGUCACCUGUGUGGGGGGCUGACCCACACACUCUCCCCUUGGACACAGAGUCAGGAGCUCAGACAAAGAAUGGGACACUGUCAACCGAGGCAGGACUCCACUAUCAGCCCAAUGAUUGGCCAGCCCUUGGAUAAGUCAUCCUCACCGGGCCACGGGUGGGACUUGACUUUUAGCCGAAUGAUUGGCAAGCUCUCAGGUCAAUCAACCUCACUGGACCAUGGGUGGGAUUCGACUUUUAGCAGAAUGAUUGGCGGACUCUCCAAUCAGUCAACCUCUAUGAGCCAGCUGAUUGGUCAGAUUCGACUGGACCAGUCAUCCCAGUGGCUGGAUAAAGGCCAGGAUGAGAGCCAGAUGAUGGGGCCUCUGGUUGGAGAGCUGGAUGAGUGUGCUGCCCAAUGGAGUGGGAGCUCAGGAGCUGAUGGGUCUAACUCCCUAGGCUGGGUGGAUCUGAGAGGCUCAGGCCUGACAGGAGUGCCAUCUGACCAAGAGGGAGCCCCUGAAGCCCAUUCACAGAGCCGCUCCUUUCCCCCUGGACUGGAACCUCUGCCACACUACCAGUGCCUGCAGUGCUCUGGAACCAGUUCCCAGGAAGUAGACGGGACUGGGGCCUCUGACUCCUUUCACCCCCUCCUGGAUGAAGUCACACACGAGACAGCUGAACCCUCCAUGACCUUUCACCUUCCAGAAGAGGAAGUGGAGGGGCCAUGUUCCCACGAAGAAGAAAGUGACCAUGAAGCACUUGCAGGGGACCUUGAACUCUCUGCAUGAUCAGAGAAGUUUGUGGACGACACUUUGUCUGUCACCUCUGACCCCUCUCCUGAGUGCCUGAGAGGAGGGGAGGAACCACCUCAGCCCUCGCCUACCCUGCACGACUCCUUGUACCAGCUGACCACGUCCCAGUGCCUCCCUCAUAACUCUGCUCUGGAUGUAUCCCCAGGAGCAGAGGUGGGGGGUCUGGCAGCAUGUUCCCUCUCCGGUGCCUCUCUCUGUGAAGAUGUCCCCACUUUGGACAAGCCACUUGAAGGCAUGGACACUGAUAUGGAGAGCACACCAGCACCUCAGACAGUUGACCAAGGAGGUGCUAUUAUUAAGGACCUGGGUGCAGGAGAGCCGGAUGCCCAGCUAUGUUCAGAGUCAAAGAUCAGCCCUCCCAUCUGGGAGAGAAUAAUGGUGGGCAGUGUGAAGGGGAUAAUGGACGAUUCCAUGCUGACCCUGGUGAGCCUGACAGACACCACAUUAAAGGACCUCGGACUUGCUGAGGAAGGAGAGAUGGAUGAGGUAUCAGACCAAGAAGGCAUUGUGGAGAAGGUAAUUGCCCAAUGACCAGAGGAGUCUGUGAAGACGGAGCAACUGAAUCUCGGCUGUAAACUCCUCCGCUGCAUGCAUUUUGUUGGGUGGUCUCUGACCAGGAGGAAGAGACAACCCCCUCUCAUGCAGUGAUGCUGCUGAAGUUCCAGUCGUGUCCCAGCAUGAAUCUACAGGAGGCCUUCCAGCAGAAAUGCAGAGCCCUGAUCCAGAGGUCUGCCCGCAGGGUGGAGGAGAUUCAGGCCAAGAUGGCUGAAGCCAAAGCAAACACCAGGGCCCAGUCUGAAACCACAGACCAGGGCCAACACAACCACCAGGGCCUAGUCUGACCCAACCACUGUUCAGUCAUCCACUACUAAACCCAGGAGAGAGGGGAGGAGUGUGGAGUCAACCCAUGCAGGAGUGGAUGCCAAGCAGAUAAAGCAUUAGCCAAAGCUCCAAACUCCCUUGCAGCCUCCCUUGCUAGCCAAGCUGAAGAAGGUUGGGGAGGUGAGGAUAAGCACUCCUGAGAUGAGGAAACGGGAUGUGGCUGACAUGCGCCAGAGAACAGAGAGGUUGUACAGCUGACUAGAUGAGGUGAAACUUCAGAAGGAGGUCAGGAGCAGACAGGAGGCAUAUGCCAAAGAGUUUCGCAAGAAAACCUUAGACGCUACGGGCCAAGCAGUCUCCGCAAUGGUACUGAAUAUCAGUUUUAUCUGUUGUGUGUUCUGUUUGCACUUAUUUUGUACUUCCAUGUGUAUUUGUACAGUUUAAUCAGUAAUGUAAAAUAUAUUUUUAAAGUGUGUAUAUAAUCUGCAUUCAGUCUAUUCAUCACAACUUACUACUGUGUUCACAACAAAAGCAGCCAGUGCACUAUUGCACCUUGAAUACUGUAGGUACACACAUUGCAAUAUGAGAAUGUUAUGUUGCCUGUAAAAAUAUUUUUGUUUUAGGUUUUUAUAGCCAAUAAAGUUGCUUGUUGCUGA